GACGAACGCUGGCGGCGUGCUUAACACAUGCAAGUCGAACGGAAAGGCCCUGCUUGCAGGGUGCUCGAGUGGCGAACGGGUGAGUAACACGUGGGUGAUCUGCCCCUUACUUUGGGAUAAGCCUGGGAAACUGGGUCUAAUACUGGAUAGGACCAUGCUGUAGGUGGUGUGGUGGAAAGAUUAGUUUCGGUAAGGGAUGAGCUCGCGGCCUAUCAGCUUGUUGUUGGGGUAAUGGCCUACCAAGGCGUCGACGGGUAGCCGGCCUGAGAGGGUGGACGGCCACAUUGGGACUGAGAUACGGCCCAGACUCCUACGGGAGGCAGCAGUGGGGAAUAUUGCACAAUGGGCGCAAGCCUGAUGCAGCGACGCCGCGUGGGGGAUGACGGCCUUCGGGUUGUAAACUCCUUUCAGCCAUGACGAAGCGCUUGUGGUGACGGUAGUGGUAGAAGAAGCACCGGCUAACUACGUG
rnacentral:rRNA from 1 species